rnacentral:rRNA from 1 species
AGUUACUUCUUGGCUCAGGAUGAACGCUAGCGGGAGCCUAACACAUGCAAGUCGAUAUGUAGCAAUACCAUGAGAGUGGCGCACGGGUGAGUAACGCGUAUGCAACCUACCUGUAACAGAGGGAUAGCCCAUAGAAAUGUGGAUUAAUACCUCAUAGUCCUGGGAAGUCGCAUGGCUUUUCAGGUAAAACUCCGGUGGUUACAGAUGGGCAUGCGUGACAUUAGCUAGUUGGUGAGGUAACGGCUCACCAAGGCAACGAUGUCUAGGGGUUCUGAGAGGAUGAUCCCCCACACUGGUACUGAGACACGGACCAGACUCCUACGGGAGGCAGCAGUGAGGAAUAUUGGUCAAUGGGCGCAAGCCUGAACCAGCCAUCCCGCGUGCAGGAUGACGGCCCUAUGGGUUGUAAACUGCUGCUAUACAGGAAGAAAAAUCUCUACGUGUAGGGACUUGCCGGUACUGUAUGAAUAAGCAUCGGCUAACUCCGUGCCAGCAGCCGCGGUAAUACGGAGGAUGCAAGCGUUAUCCGGAUUCAUUGGGUUUAAAGGGUGCGUAGGCGACUUUUUAAGUCAGUGGUGAAAUCCUGUCGCUCAACGAUAGAAUUGCCAUUGAUACUGAAAAGCUUGAGUUCAGUUGAGGUAAGCGGAAUGUGUAGUGUAGCGGUGAAAUGCUUAGAUAUUACACAGAACACCGAUUGCGAAGGCAGCUUACUAAACUGACACUGACGCUGAUGCACGACUACGUGGGGAUCGAACAGGAUUAGAUACCCUGGUAGUCCACGCCGUAAACGAUGAUCACUCGCUGUAUGCGAUACACAGUAUGCGGCCAAGCGAAAGCAUUAAGUGAUCCACCUGGGGAGUACGAUCGCAAGGUUGAAACUCAACUGAAUUGACGGGAAGCCGCACAAGCGGAGGAACAUGUGGUUUAAUUCGAUGAUACGCGAGGAACCUUACCUGGGCUUAAAUGGGGAACGACAGCUGCCGAAAGGUGGCCUUCUAGGGACGUUCUUCAAGGUGCUGCAAGGUUCGUCAGCUCGUGCCGUGAGGACUCGGGUUAAGUCCCAUAACGAGCGCCUUAUCGUUAGUUGCCAGCGGGUCAAGCCGGGGACUCUAGCGAGACUGCCACCGUAAGGUGAGAGGAAGGUGGGGAUGACGUCAAAUCAGCACGGCCCUUAUGUCCAGGGCUACACACGUGUUACAAUGGCCGAUACAAAGGGCAGCUACCAGGCGACUGGAUGCUAAUCUCUAAAGUCGGUCUCAGUUCGGAUCGAAGUCUGCAACCCGACUUCGUGAAGCUGGAUAUUCUAGUAAUCGCGCAUCAGCCAUGGCGCGGUGAAUACGUUCCCGGGCCUUGUACACACCGCCCGUCAAACAAUGGAAGCUGGGGGUACCUGAAGUAUGUAACCGCAAGGAGCGUCCUAGAUCAAAACUAGUAACUGGUGUUAAGUCGUAUAAAGGUAGCAG